rnacentral:rRNA from 1 species
UGCCUACGGGGCGCAGCAGUGAGGAAUAUUGGUCAAUGGGCUUACGCCUGAACCAGCCAAGUCGCGUGAGGGAAGACGGCCCUAUGGGUUGUAAACCUCUUUUGUCGGAGAACAAAACCCGGGACGUGUCCCGGACUGCGUGUAUCCGAAGAAAAAGCAUCGGCUAACUCCGUGCCAGCAGCCGCGGUAAUACGGAGGAUGCGAGCGUUAUCCGGAUUUAUUGGGUUUAAAGGGUGCGUAGGCGGAAUGCCAAGUCAGCGGUAAAAUCGCGGGGCUCAACCUCGCUCCGCCGUUGAAACUGGCGU